rnacentral:rRNA from 1 species
GNGUUCCUGUCUCAGAUUAGCCAUGCAUGUCUAAGUAUAAGCAAUCUAUACUGUGAAACUGCGAAUGGCUCAUUAAAUCAGUUAUCGUUUAUUUGAUAGUACCUUACUACUUGGAUAACCGUGGUAAUUCUAGAGCUAAUACAUGCUAAAAACCUCGACUUCGGAAGGGGUGUAUUUAUUAGAUAAAAAACCAAUGCCCUUCGGGGCUCCUUGGUGAUUCAUAAUAACUUAACGAAUCGCAUGGCCUUGUGCCGGCGAUGGUUCAUUCAAAUUUCUGCCCUAUCAACUUUCGAUGGUAGGAUAGUGGCCUACCAUGGUUUCAACGGGUAACGGGGAAUUAGGGUUCUAUUCCGGAGAGCGAGCCUGAGACACGGCUAGCACAUCCAAGGAAGGCAGCAGGCGCGCAAAUUACCCAAUCCCGACACGGGGAGGUAGUGACAAUAAAUACUGAUACAGGACUCUUUUGGGUCUUGUAAUUGGAAUGAGUACAAUUUAAAUCCCUUAACGAGGAACAAUUGGAGGGCAAGUCUGGUGCCAGCAGCCGCGGUAAUUCCAGCUCCAAUAGCGUAUAUUAAAGUUGUUGCAGUUAAAAAGCUCGUAGUUGAACCUUGGGCCUGGCUGGCCGGUCCGCCUCACCGCGUGCACUGGUCCGGCCGGGCCUUUCCUUCUGGGGAGCCGCAUGCCCUUCACUGGGUGUGUCGGGGAACCAGGACUUUUACUUUGAAAAAAUUAGAGUGUUCAAAGCAGGCCUAUGCUCGAAUACAUUAGCAUGGAAUAAUAGAAUAGGACGUGUGGUUCUAUUUUGUUGGUUUCUAGGACCGCCGUAAUGAUCAAUAGGGAUAGUCGGGGGCAUCAGUAUUCAAUUGUCAGAGGUGAAAUUCUUGGAUUUAUUGAAGACUAACUACUGCGAAAGCAUUUGCCAAGGAUGUUUUCAUUAAUCAGUGAACGAAAGUUAGGGGAUCGAAGACGAUCAGAUACCGUCGUAGUCUUAACCAUAAACUAUGCCGACUAGGGAUCGGGCGAUGUUACUUUUUUGACUCGCUCGGCACCUUACGAGAAAUCAAAGUCUUUGGGUUCUGGGGGGAGUAUGGUCGCAAGGCUGAAACUUAAAGAAAUUGACGGAAGGGCACCACAAUGGAGUGGAGCCUGCGGCUUAAUUUGACUCAACACGGGGAAACUCACCAGGUCCAGACACAAUAAGGAUUGACAGAUUGAGAGCUSUUUCUUGAUUUUGUGGGUGGUGGUGCAUGGCCGUUCUUAGUUGGUGGGAUGACUUGUCUGCUCAAUUGCGAUAACGAACGAGACCUUAACCUACUAAAUAGCCAGGCUAGCUUUGGCUGGUCGCCGGCUUCUUAGAGGGACUAUCGGCUCAAGCCGAUGGAAGUUUGAGGCAAUAACAGGUCUGUGAUGCCCUUAUAUGUUCUGGGGCGCACGAGCUCUACGCGGACUGAUCCAUACACUGCAUCACCUUGAUCGAAAGGGCUGUGUAAUCAUGGUCAACUCUGUCAUGCUGCGAAUACACCAUUGGAUGUAUUGCUCUUCACCUGGGAAUUGCGACUAAGCGCAAGUCAUCUGCUUGCGUUGAAUACGUCCCUGCCCUUUGUACACAUCCCCGUCACUACUACCGAUUGAAUGGUCACUGAGGCUUUCUCACUGGCCUCGAAGACUGAAGCUCUCGCUCGCGCCCGGAUAGUAUGCACCUUGAACAUGUCUAGGAGUAAAGUCUCACAGGUUGCGAGGGGGAGGAGAGGCCUGACCAGACUCGCUCCUCUGCGCUGGGGGGGGUUUUGCUC